rnacentral:rRNA from 1 species
GACAGAGGUCUCGAGCGUUAGGCGGAAUCACUGGGCUUAAAGCGUGUGUAGGCGGAUGUCUAAGUACUUUGUGAAAUCCCACGGCUUAACCGUGGAAUUGCUUGGUAUACUGGAUGUCUUGAGCCAGCUAGGGGCAACCGGAACAAAUGGUGGAGCGGUGAAAUGCGCAGAUAUCAGGAGGAACACCGGUGGCGAAGGCGGGUCUCUGGGCCGAUACUGACGCUGAGGAGCGAAAGCGUGGGGAGCAAACAGG